rnacentral:rRNA from 1 species
UACGAAGGGGGCUAGCGUUGUUCGGAAUCACUGGGCGUAAAGCGCACGUAGGCGGCUUUUUAAGUCAGGGGUGAAAUCCUGGAGCUCAACUCCAGAACUGCCUUUGAUACUGAGAAGCUUGAGUCCGGGAGAGGUGAGUGGAACUGCGAGUGUAGAGGUGAAAUUCGUAGAUAUUCGCAAGAACACCAGUGGCGAAGGCGGCAUCCUGGACCAAUUCUGACGCUGAGGAGCGAAAGCCAGGGGAGCAAACGGG